rnacentral:rRNA from 1 species
UAGGGAAUCUUCGGCAAUGGACGAAUGUCUGACCGAGCAACGCCGCGUGAGUGAAGAAGGUUUUCGGAUCGUAAAACUCUGUUGGUAGAGAAGAACGUUGAUGAGAGUGGAAAGCUCAUCAAGUGACGGUAACUACCCAGAAAGGGACGGCUAACUACGUGCCAGCAGCCGCGGUAAUACGUAGGUCCCGAGCGUUGUCCGGAUUUAUUGGGCGUAAAGCGAGCGCAGGUGGUUUAUUAAGUCUGGUGUAAAAGGCAGUGGCUCAACCAUUGUAUGCAUUGGAAACUGGUAGACUUGAGUGCAGGAGAGGAGAGUGGAAUUCCAUGUGUAGCGGUGAAAUGCGUAGAUAUAUGGAGGAACACCGGUGGCGAAAGCGGCUCUCUGGCCUGUAACUGACACUGAGGCUCGAAAGCGUGGGGAGCAAACAGGAUUAGAUACCCUGGUAGUCCACGCCGUAAACGAUGAGUGCUAGAUGUAGGGAGCUAUAAGUUCUCUGUAUCGCAGCUAACGCAAUAAGCACUCCGCCUGGGGAGUACGACCGCAAGGUUGAAACUCAAAGGAAUUGACGGGGGCCCGCACAAGCGGUGGAGCAUGUGGUUUAAUUCGAAGC